AGCAGCCGCGGUAAUUCCAGCUCCAAUAGCGUAUAUUAAAGUUGUUGCAGUUAAAAAGCUCGUAGUUGAAUUUCGGGGUCAGUAGGCUGGUCGUGCCACAGGUAUGUACUGGUCUUACUGAUUCCUCCUUCCUGAUGAACCGUAAUGCCAUUAAUUUGGUGUUGCGGGGAAUCUGGACUGUUACUUUGAAAAAAUUAGAGUGUUUAAAGCAGGCGAACGCUUGAAUACAUUAGCAUGGAAUAAUGAAAUAGGACGAUCGAUCCUAUUUUGUUGGUUUCUAGGAUUGACGUAAUGAUUAAUAGGGAUAGUUGGGGGCAUUAGUAUUCAAUUGUCAGAGGUGAAAUUCUUGGAUUUAUUGAAGACUAACUACUGCGAAAGCAUUUGCCAAGGAUGUUUUCAUUAAUCAAGAACGAAAGUUAGGGGAUCGAAGACGAUCAGAUACCGUCGUAG
rnacentral:rRNA from 1 species